rnacentral:rRNA from 1 species
AUAUUAUUAAGCGGAGGAAAAGAAACUAACCAGGAUUCCCCUAGUAACGGCGAGUGAAGCGGGAAUAGCUCAGAUUUGGAAUCCUUCGGGAAUUGUGAUCUGGAGAAGCUAUGUCAGUGUGGACUGCGGGUGAAGUCUCUUGGAAGAGAGCGCCUUGGAGGGUGAUAGCCCCGUUCGCACCUGUGGUUUGUACACGUACGACAAGCUUUCAACGAGUCGAGUUGCUUGGAAUUGCAGCUCAAAGUGGGUGGUAAAUUCCAUCUAAAGCUAAAUAUGUGUGGGAGACCGAUAGCGCACAAGUA